rnacentral:rRNA from 1 species
UACGUAGGGUGCGAGCGUUGUCCGGAAUUACUGGGCGUAAAGAGCUCGUAGGUGGUUUGUCGCGUUGUUCGUGAAAACUCACAGCUCAACUGUGGGCGUGCGGGCGAUACGGGCAGACUGGAGUACUGCAGGGGAGAACGGAAUUCCUGGUGUAGCGGUGAAAUGCGCAGAUAUCAGGAAGAACACCGAUGGCGAAGGCAGCUCUCUGGGACGGUACUGACGCUGAGACGCGAAAGCGUGGGGAGCGAACAGG